rnacentral:rRNA from 1 species
AGAGUUUGAUUAUGGCUCAGAUUGAACGCUGGCGGCAGGCCUAACACAUGCAAGUCGAACGGUAACAGGAAGAAGCUUGCUUCUUUGCUGACGAGUGGCGGACGGGUGAGUAAUGUCUGGGAAACUGCCUGAUGGAGGGGGAUAACUACUGGAAACGGUAGCUAAUACCGCAUAACGUCGCAAGACCAAAGAGGGGGACCUUCGGGCCUCUUGCCAUCGGAUGUGCCCAGAUGGGAUUAGCUAGUAGGUGGGGUAACGGCUCACCUAGGCGACGAUCCCUAGCUGGUCUGAGAGGAUGACCAGCCACACUGGAACUGAGACACGGUCCAGACUCCUACGGGAGGCAGCAGUGGGGAAUAUUGCACAAUGGGCGCAAGCCUGAUGCAGCCAUGCCGCGUGUAUGAAGAAGGCCUUCGGGUUGUAAAGUACUUUCAGCGGGGAGGAAGGGAGUAAAGUUAAUACCUUUGCUCAUUGACGUUACCCGCAGAAGAAGCACCGGCUAACUCCGUGCCAGCAGCCGCGGUAAUACGGAGGGUGCAAGCGUUAAUCGGAAUUACUGGGCGUAAAGCGCACG